UCCGGUUGAUCCUGCCGGACCUGACUGCUAUCGGAUUGAUACUAAGCCAUGCGAGUCAUUGUAGCAAUACAAGGCAGACGGCUCAGUAACGCGUAGUCAACCUACCCUAUGGACGGGAAUAACCUCGGGAAACUGAGUAUAAUGCCCGAUAGAACACUAUACCUGGAAUGGUUUGUGUUCCAAAUGAUUUAUCGCCAUAGGAUGGGACUGCGGCCUAUCAGUUUGUUGGUGAGGUAAUGGCCCACCAAGACUAUUACAGGUACGGGCUCUGAGAGGAGUGGCCCGGAGAUGGGUACUGAGACACGGACCCAGGCCCUAUGGGGCGCAGCAGGCGAGAAAACUUUGCAAUGUGCGAAAGCACGACAAGGUUAAUCCGAGUGGUUUGUGCUAAACGAACCUUUUGUCAGUCCUAGAAACACUAACGAAUAAGGGGUGGGCAAGUUCUGGUGUCAGCCGCCGCGGUAAAACCAGCACCUCAAGUGGUCAGGAUGAUUAUUGGGCCUAAAGCAUCCGUAGCCGGCUCUGUAAGUUUUCGGUUAAAUCUGUACGCUUAACGUACAGGCUGCCGGGAAUACUGCAGAGCUAGGGAGUGGGAGAGGUAGACGGUACUCGGUAGGAAGGGGUAAAAUCCUUUGAUCUAUUGAUGA
rnacentral:rRNA from 1 species